AUGUAUACCCACAUACACUCCGGUUCCUGCGCUCCGGGCGCACCCGGCUGAUGACCGCUCGCUACGAUUUCUAGAC
rnacentral:sRNA from 1 species